rnacentral:rRNA from 1 species
GUACACUCCUGCGGGAGGCAGCAGUGGGGAAUUUUGGACAAUGGGCGAAAGCCUGAUCCAGCAAUGCCGCGUGAGUGAAGAAGGCCUUCGGGUUGUAAAGCUCUUUUGUCAGGGAAGAAACGGUGAGAGCUAAUAUCUUUUGCUAAUGACGGUACCUGAAGAAUAAGCACCGGCUAACUACGUGCCAGCAGCCGCGGUAAUACGUAGGGUGCAAGCGUUAAUCGGAAUUACUGGGCGUAAAGCGUGCGCAGGCGGUUUUGUAAGUCUGAUGUGAAAUCCCCGGGCUCAACCUGGGAAUUGCAUUGGAGACUGCAAGGCUAGAAUCUGGCAGAGGGGGGUAGAAUUCCACGUGUAGCAGUGAAAUGCGUAGAUAUGUGGAGGAACACCGAUGGCGAAGGCAGCCCCCUGGGUCAAGAUUGACGCUCAUGCACGAAAGCGUGGGGAGCAAACAGGAUUAGAAACCCUAGUAGUCCCAUGA